rfam:Camelus ferus unplaced genomic scaffold scaffold812, whole genome shotgun sequence.
GAGGGUAUAGCUCUGUGGUAAAGUGUGUGCUCAGCAUGCAGGAGGCCCUGGGUUCAAUCCCCAGUACCUCCA